rnacentral:rRNA from 1 species
UACGGGGGGGGCAAGCGUUGUUCGGAAUUACUGGGCGUAAAGGGCUCGUAGGCGGCUAACUAAGUCAGACGUGAAAUCCCUCGGCUUAACCGAGGAACUGCGUCUGAUACUGGAUGGCUAGAGUUUGGGAGAGGGAUGCGGAAUUCCAGGUGUAGCGGUGAAAUGCGUAGAUAUCUGGAGGAACACCGGUGGCGAAGGCGGCAUCCUGGACCAACACUGACGCUGAGGAGCGAAAGCCAGGGGAGCAAACGGG